AUUGAACGCUGGCGGCAUGCCUUACACAUGCAAGUCGAACGGUAACGGGCCUUCGGGUGCCGACGAGUGGCGAACGGGUGAGCAAUGUAUCGGAACGUACCUUUCAGUGGGGGAUAACGUAGCGAAAGUUACGCUAAUACCGCAUAUUCUGUGAGCAGGAAAGCAGGGGAUCGCAAGACCUUGCGCUGAUUGAGCGGCCGAUAUCAGAUUAGCUAGUUGGUGAGGUAAAGGCUCACCAAGGCGACGAUCUGUAGCGGGUCUGAGAGGAUGAUCCGCCACACUGGAACUGAGACACGGUCCAGACUCCUACGGGAGGCAGCAGUGGGGAAUUUUGGACAAUGGGGGCAACCCUGAUCCAGCCAUGCCGCGUGAGUGAAGAAGGCCUUCGGGUUGUAAAGCUCUUUCGGCCGGGAAGAAAUCGUAUCAGCUAAUACCUGGUGCGGAUGACGGUACCGGCGUAAGAAGCACCGGCUAACUACGUGCCAGCCGCCGCAGUAAUAC
rnacentral:rRNA from 1 species